rnacentral:misc_RNA from 1 species
UCUUUGCUGAUCUCUUGUGAA